UACAGAGGUCUCAAGCGUUGUUCGGAUUCAUUGGGCGUAAAGGGUGCGUAGGCGGCGCGGUAAGUCGGGUGUGAAAUCUCGGAGCUUAACUCCGAAACUGCAUUCGAUACUGCCGUGCUUGAGGACUGGAGAGGAGACUGGAAUUUACGGUGUAGCGGUGAAAUGCGUAGAUAUCGUAAGGAAGACCAGUGGCGAAGGCGGCUCACUGGACGCGUAUUGACGCUGAGGUACGAAAGCGUGGGGAGCAAACAGG
rnacentral:rRNA from 1 species